CUUCGCUUUGCCUCUCUUUGGUCUUUCAAUAAAAUAGAGCAGAAAGGUAAAACCCAAAGCUUGAAAACCAUAAAAAAUGGUUCAAAGACUCACUUAUCGGACUCGCCAUAGCUACGCUACCAAAUCCAACCAACACCGUGUGGUUAAGACCCCUGAUUCCUCACUUGAGACCUGCUGAAUACAUGAGGUCUAGGUUGCCGAGGAGUCGCCAGACUGUGAAUUGUGGUUAUGGUGGUGUUUUGUCAGGUAGUGCUAUCCGGGAGAGGAUAAUUCGAGCCUUCUUGGUCGAAGAGCAGAAGAUUGUGAAGAAAGUUCUGAAGAUCCAAAAGUCCAAGGAAAAGCAAGCUUCAAAGAGCAAAAAAUUUAGAUGUUGGUUGUUAUUGAACUGAAUUUU